CCUACGGGAGGCAGCAGUGGGGAAUAUUGCACAAUGGGGGAAACCCUGAUGCAGCAACGCCGCGUGAAGGAAGAAGGGUUUCGGCUCGUAAACUUCUAUCGAUAGGGACGAAAGAGAUGACGGUACCUAAAUAAGAAGCCCCGGCUAACUACGUGCCAGCAGCCGCGGUAAUACGUAGGGGGCAAGCGUUAUCCGGAAUUACUGGGUGUAAAGGGAGCGUAGGCGGCAAGGUAAGUAAGAUGUGAAAGCCCGCAGCUUAACUGCGAGGAUUGCAUUUUAAACUAUCUGGCUUGAGUACAGGAGAGGUAAGCGGAAUUCCUAGUGUAGCGGUGAAAUGCGUAGAUAUUAGGAAGAACACCAGUGGCGAAGGCGGCUUACUGGACUGUAACUGACGCUGAGGCUCGAAAGCGUGGGGAGCGAACAGGAUUAGAUACCCGGGUAGUC
rnacentral:rRNA from 1 species